UUCCUGUUUCAGACAAUCCUCCACCGCGUACUUUCAAAACUCACGGUAAAUUUCUUAAAAGGGCUGAUUUGUUCUAGCAAAGCACAGUUUUCCAACUCGCUCCACUGAUGCAUGAGAUCUUCACUGUGCAUCUUUAUUUCUCAUAUUCAUAUUCUGGAUAUUUCUACAUCUCCUUUCAUCACAGAUACAGAUGGAGAGUAGAAAUGAAAUAAUGCAGAAACCACAGAUGAGCAAAAAGAAGAAUACAGAACAAAUGGAGCCUGGAGAUCAGACGCAAACCAGUGGAGAGAAAAGCAGACAAACACUUGUAAGAUGUGACAGUAUGAAGAGAUUAUCACCAAACUUCUCGCAUGAGCCACAAGGACCUGGAAAGUUAAAUGCAGGUUUUCUCAAGAACACACAACAUCAGUGACUUCCAGCUACGAACAGAUGAAGACCUGACCAUCAUCAUCAUCAUCAUCAUCACUACAGUGUGUUCAGCUCCUGGACUCUUACACAGACUCUGGUUCAUCACACAUUCUUACAAACAAACAGCUCAGUGUCUUCGGUUUCACUGCACGAGCAGACCUAUGGGUCGAAAUUAACUGGAGAACCUGAAGGAAACCUGCAGAAAAGUCAUUCACCUGAAGCAGGAGAGCUUCUUACUGUCAGUCAAUUACAUCAUACUGUCCUAAUGUAUUGAUGAAACACGUUACAAAGACUGUGAACUACUGAAUCGUGGAGUUAGCACAUUUAUUUAGACAGGAUUUGACUGUAAGCUGGUGAGUUAAAGUGUUUAACCAGUUUACCUACCGCUCCGUUACCCAGCAUGUUAAAACAAUCAAAUGAAAAU